rnacentral:tRNA from 1 species
AGUUAAAAAGCUACAGAUAAGCCUAAUGUCUUGAAAACAUUAUGAAAGAAGUUUAAUCCUUCUAUUAACUU